rnacentral:rRNA from 1 species
GAAUGCUGACAUAAGUAACGAUAAAGCGGGUGAAAAGCCCGCUCGCCGGAAGACCAAGGGUUCCUGUCCAACGUUAAUCGGGGCAGGGUGAGUCGACCCCUAAGGCGAGGCCGAAAGGCGUAGUCGAUGGGAAACAGGUUAAUAUUCCUGUACUUGGUGUUACUGCGAAGGGGGGACGGAGAAGGCUAUGUUGGCCGGGCGACGGUUGUCCCGGUUUAAGCGUGUAGGCUGGUUUUCCAGGCAAAUCCGGAAAAUCAAG